AUGGUAUGGGCACAUUCUGUAUCAUAUGAUCUCAUCAACUGGGUUCAUCUCAAUCAUGCCCUUCACCCAACAGAACCAUUUGACAUCAAAAGUUGCUGGUCUGGUUCUGUUACAAUCCUUCCAGGGAAUAAACCUGUCAUUUUAUACACUGGUAUUGAUGCCAACAAUACACAGGUUCAGAAUUUGGCAAUGCCCAAGAAUCUGUCUGACCCAUUACUUAAAGAAUGGAUAAAAUUUUCACAAAAUCCUGUCAUAACUCCUCCCAUUGGUAUUGAAGGGGACCAUUUUAGAGAUCCAACAACUGCUUGGCUGGGUGCUGAUGGGAAAUGGAAUGUGAUCAUUGGGAGCUCGAUUAAUGAUCAAGGAAUGGCAAUCCUGUAUCAAAGUGAAGAUUUUGUUAACUGGAGCAGGUAUCAAGAUCCUCUUUAUUCAAAAGAAAAAACUGGAAUGUGGGAGUGUCCAGACUUCUUUCCGGUGUCUGUUAACAGCACAAAUGGUGUUGACACUUCAGUCAUAAAUCCAGGUGUUAAGCAUGUGAUGAAGGCCAGCUUCAAUUCGCAUGACUACUACAUGAUAGGUACUUAUGUCCCUGGGAUGGAAAAAUAUAUUCCUGACUCUGAUUUUACAGGUAGCAACACAGACUUGAGGUAUGACUAUGGCAAGUUUUACGCUUCAAAGACAUUCUUUGAUAGUGUCAAGGAUAGGAGGAUAUUAUGGGGCUGGAUAAACGAAUCUGACAGCGCAGAAG
rnacentral:misc_RNA from 1 species